GAUGAACGCUGGCGGCGUGCUUAACACAUGCAAGUCGAACGGAAAGGCCGAAGCUUGCUUCGGUACUCGAGUGGCGAACGGGUGAGUAACACGUGGGUGAUCUGCCCUGUACUUCGGGAUAAGCUUGGGAAACUGGGUCUAAUACCGGAUAUGACGAUCUCUUGGAUGGGGUUGUGGAAAGCUUUUGCGGUAUGGGAUGAGCUCGCGGCCUAUCAGCUUGUUGGUGGGGUAAUGGCCUACCAAGGCGUCGACGGGUAGCCGGCCUGAGAGGGUGUAGGGCCACAUUGGGACUGAGAUACGGCCCAGACUCCUACGGGAGGCAGCAGUGGGGAAUAUUGCACAAUGGGCGCAAGCCUGAUGCAGCGACGCCGCGUGGGGGAUGACGGCCUUCGGGUUGUAAACUCCUUUCGCAAUCGACGAAGCCUUUUGGUGACGGUAGGUUGAGAAGAAGCACCGGCUAACUACGUG
rnacentral:rRNA from 1 species